rnacentral:rRNA from 1 species
CAGCAGCGCGGGAAAACGGAGGGAGCUAGCGUUGUUCGGAAUCACUGGGCGUAAAGCGCACGUAGGUGGCUAUUCAAGUCAGGGGUGAAAGCCCGGGGCUCAACCCCGGAACUGCCUUUGAAACUAGAUAGCUUGAAUCUUGGAGAGGCGAGUGGAAUUCCGAGUGUAGAGGUGAAAUUCGUAGAUAUUCGGAAGAACACCAGUGGCGAAGGCGACUCGCUGGACAAGUAUUGACGCUGAGGUGCGAAAGCGUGGGGAGCAAACAGGAUUAGAUACCCGGGUAGUCCCUGUCUCUUAUACA